UACGGAGGAUCCAAGCGUUAUCCGGAAUCAUUGGGUUUAAAGGGUCCGUAGGCGGUUUUGUAAGUCAGUGGUGAAAGCCCAUCGCUCAACGGUGGAACGGCCAUUGAUACUGCAAGACUUGAAUUAUUGGGAAGUAACUAGAAUAUGUAGUGUAGCGGUGAAAUGCUUAGAGAUUACAUGGAAUACCAAUUGCGAAGGCAGGUUACUACUAAUGGAUUGACGCUGAUGGACGAAAGCGUGGGUAGCGAACAGG
rnacentral:rRNA from 1 species